CCCUUAGACACUCUAGGCGGCACGCGCGCUACAAUGGGUGGAAGACCGUGUUACUGCCUUCGAAAGAAGGGGUGAAUCACGAAUUCUUACCCGUGAAUGGGAUAGUUUGUUGCAAUUUUCGGACUUGAACUAGGAAUCCCUUGUAAGCAUGCUCAAGAAUAGCGUGUUGAAUACGUCCCUGCCGUUUGUACACACCGCCCGUCGUUUCUUCCGACUGAUACUCAUUGUGAGUUGCAAGGACCCUUUAUUGGGAAAUUGCUGCAAAUGCUUUGUAUUGGAGGAAGAAAAAGUCGUAACA
rnacentral:rRNA from 1 species